UAGUGUAAACAGGGAUAGAUAACUACUGAAAAGGUGGUUCAGCAGGUAGAAUAGAUGAAUAGUCAGGAAAAGUAGUUAUCAUCUAUAGUAUAGGAGUUGAUAUCUUGGGGUAGUAUAAGGAGGAUGGGAGAGGGGAAGAAAAUGCCAGACUGUGAGAGUUGUGAGCCGGGGUAAGCUUGGUGCUACCUCUUUUCUUUUAUUUGUUAUUUUCUUUGAAUAAGAAGAUUGAAAGUUUCUGAAUAUUGUGAAGUGAAUUAUGGAAUAGAAAUGUGAUUGGUACUAUUUGAGAAGAAGAAAGAUUAAAUGCUGAAAUCUGAUUGUAGUUCAGCAGAGAGAAUGAGUCUGUGUUUGUGUGAAACAUUGUAAUGUGAAUGGCAGUUCUAUAUGAAGAAUUCUAAAGAUUGGAACGAGGGUAAUUGUGUGCUGAAAGCUGUGAGGGCACAGUAUUACAGUUG
rnacentral:lncRNA from 1 species